rnacentral:rRNA from 1 species
CUGAGGCGUGACGACGAGGCACUACGGUGCUGAAGCAACAAAUGCCCUGCUUCCAGGAAAAGCCUCUAAGCAUCAGGUAACAUCAAAUCGUACCCCAAACCGACACAGGUGGUCAGGUAGAGAAUACCAAGGCGCUUGAGAGAACUCGGGUGAAGGAACUAGGCAAAAUGGUGCCGUAACUUCGGGAGAAGGCACGCUGACACGUAGGUGAAGUGAUUUACUCACGGAGCUGAAGUCAGUCGAAGAUACCAGCUGGCUGCAACUGUUUAUUAAAAACACAGCACUGUGCAAACACGAAAGUGGACGUAUACGGUGUGACGCCUGCCCGGUGCCGGAAGGUUAAUUGAUGGGGUCAGCGCAAGCGAAGCUCCUGAUCGAAGCCCCGGUAAACGGCGGCCGUAACUAUAACGGUCCUAAGGUAGCGAAAUUCCUUGUCGGGUAAGUUCCGACCUGCACGAAUGGCGUAAUGAUGGCCAGGCUGUCUCCACCCGAGACUCAGUGAAAUUGAACUCGCUGUGAAGAUGCAGUGUACCCGCGGCAAGACGGAAAGACCCCGUGAACCUUUACUAUAGCUUGACACUGAACAUUGAGCCUUGAUGUGUAGGAUAGGUGGGAGGCUUUGAAGUGUGGACGCCAGUCUGCAUGGAGCCGACCUUGAAAUACCACCCUUUAAUGUUUGAUGUUCUAACGUGGACCCGUUACCCGGGUUGCGGACAGUGUCUGGUGGGUAGUUUGACUGGGGCGGUCUCCUCCUAAAGAGUAACGGAGGAGCACGAAGGUUGGCUAAUCCUGGUCGGACAUCAGGAGGUUAGUGCAAUGGCAUAAGCCAGCUUGACUGCGAGCGUGACGGCGCGAGCAGGUGCGAAAGCAGGUCAUAGUGAUCCGGUGGUUCUGAAUGGAAGGGCCAUCGCUCAACGGAUAAAAGGUACUCCGGGGAUAACAGGCUGAUACCGCCCAAGAGUUCAUAUCGACGGCGGUGUUUGGCACCUCGAUGUCGGCUCAUCACAUCCUGGGGCUGAAGUAGGUCCCAAGGGUAUGGCUGUUCGCCAUUUAAAGUGGUACGCGAGCUGGGUUUAGAACGUCGUGAGACAGUUCGGUCCCUAUCUGCCGUGGGCGCUGGAGAACUGAGGGGGGCUGCUCCUAGUACGAGAGGACCGGAGUGGACGCAUCACUGGUGUUCGGGUUGUCAUGCCAAUGGCACUGCCCGGUAGCUAAAUGCGGAAGAGAUAAGUGCUGAAAGCAUCUAAGCACGAAACUUGCCCCGAGAUGAGUUCUCCCUGAGACUUUAGGUCUCCUGAAGGAACGUUGAAGACGACGACGUUGAUAGGCCGGGUGUGUAAGCGCAGCGAUGCGUUGAGCUAACCGGUACUAAUGAACCGUGAGGCUUAACC